GAUGAAGAACGUAGCGAAAUGUGAUACUUGGUGCGAAUUGCAGAAUCCCGUGAACCAUCGAGUUUUUGAACGCAAGUUGCGCCCGAAGCCGUUAGGCUGAGGGCACGCCUGCCUGGGUGUCACACAUCGUUGCCCCAAUGCCAAUCGCCUCACUUUGUAGGUAUUUGCUUGGGGUGAAUGUUGGCCUCCCGUGAGCUUUGUCUCACGGUUGGUUGAAAAUCGAGUGCAUGGUGUCGGGUGUACCAUGAUGGAUGGUGGUUGAGUGAUGAUGCUCGAGACCAAUCAUGGGUAACUCCACCAGAAUUGGGCUCGGUGACCCACAUGCGUCCCUUGGAUGCUCCCUAAGGAGACCUCAGGUCAGGCGGGGCUACCCGCUGAGUUUAAGCAUAUCAAUAAGCGGAGGA
rnacentral:misc_RNA from 1 species